GGCCUGGUAGCACAGUGGUUAGUGUAUCUGCUUUACUUACGUGAAUGGAUUAAUGUGGUUCCGCAGAAAAUCCCUGUUCGAUUCGGGGUCAGGUUG